AGUACAAUUGCUGGGUUAUAUAGUGAGAGUUUGUUCAGUUGUGUAAGAAACUCCCAUACCACUUCCCGGAGUGUCUGUGCCAUUCUACACUCCCACAAGCAGU
rnacentral:pre_miRNA from 1 species